AUUAGUAUGUGCUGAAUUGGUAUUUUUUUGUGCUUUUUAUUUUAAGUAUUUUUGCAUCUUUCAUGUUAUGUGUGUUUACUUAGUCACAUGUUGGUGGUUUCUUUGUAGCGUGCAAAGAAGAAGGACAAUGAAGAUCCAUCACAAUCUGAGAUGUUUGUUGUAACUCAUACGAGAAAAAAAGGAGAGACUGAUUCAGGAACACAAGAGACAAUUGAACAUCUUCAAAAUUUAAAAGAAACAGGAUACAAUGAUGAUGAAGCAGUUCAAACAGUUUUCCGAAAGGAAAGACAUAGAAGAGUUUGUUUCUAUGGUCGAUCAGUCACAAAAUCCUCUCUUGAAAAGGAGAAGGAAAUCCGACAAAUGCAAUAACAACAUAAUGAAGUGGUUUCAACUAUGGAGAAAAAUCAAAAUAACUUAACUUCCAAGUUGGACGGUUUAACAAACUUGAUUAAAACGUUUUUGCAACAAGUCAAUCCUGGUAUGAGUGCAGAACAAGUGCAAGUAAUGAUAGAAGCCGCCCAACAAUCUCCGCCUGACACGAGUAGUGCACCAAAUGAUACGCGGCGAAGCAUUCCUCCUUCACUUGGAUCGAACCAUGUAUCAAAGGAUAUGGAAGAAGACAUGAUGUGAUGAAGAAAAUAUGUUCCAUACAAAUAUCACAUGGGAUAGGUCUUACAAUGACCUUAGUUAUGUAAAUGUAAUAUUUUGAUGUGUUAUGUACUUUUUGAGGUAUUACAUGUAAUUGGAAAAAUUACACUCUAUUUUGAUUUGUGUUGUUUAGACUAAAAA